rnacentral:rRNA from 1 species
CACGUAGGGGGCAAGCGUUGUCCGGAUUUAUUGGGCGUAAAGAGCUCGUAGGCGGUCUGUCGCGUCGGCUGUGAAAUCCCGAGGCUCAACCUCGGGUCUGCAGUCGAUACGGGCAAACUGGAGUACUGCAGGGGAGACUGGAAUUCCUGGUGUAGCGGUGAAAUGCGCAGAUAUCAGGAGGAACACCGGUGGCGAAGGCGGGUCUCUGGGCAGUAACUGACGCUGAGGAGCGAAAGCGUGGGGAGCGAACAGG